ensembl:lncRNA
AAGCAGCCCCCAUAGACCCUCAUAGGGCAAGCCCCAUCACCCCUUGCCCCAUAAGCUCAGCCCUAUGCCUACCCUGAUCCCCAUCAGAGCCCCAUAGCUCUACCCAUAGCCCCAUAUCCUGCCCCAUAUCUCUGCCCCAUAGCCCUAUACCUGCCCCAUAGCCCCCCUAUAGGGCAGCCCCAUAGCCCCCAUAGAGCCCUAUAAAGCAGCCCCAUAGAGCCCUAUAGGGCAGCCCCAUACCCUGCCCCAUAGCUCAGCCCUAUAGCCCCAUACCCUGCCCCAUAGAGCCCCAUAGCCCUGCCCCAUAGCCCCCCUAUAGGGCAGCCCCAUAGCCCCCAUAGAGCCCUAUAGAGCAGCCCCAUAGAGCCCUAUAGGGCAGCCCCAUACCCAGCCCCACAUCGCUGUGCCCCGUGGCCACGCCCCCUAUUCAUAAGCCCCGCCCCCUCCUUAUUUAUAACCCCACCCCUUAUUCAUAAUCCCAGCCCUCUCAUUGGUUCAGCCCAUUUAAAGCCCCGCCCCUUAUUCAUAAGCCCCGCCCCCGUCCAUUCAUAAGCCCCGCCCCUAUUCAUAAGCCACGCCCCCAUUCAUAAGCUCCGCCCUUUAUUCAUAAUCCCAGCCCUCUCAUUGGUUCAGCCCAUUUAAAGCCCCGCCCCUUAUUUAUAAGCCCCGCCCCCUUUCGAGCCCCCGCCCCAUUCAUAAUCCCAGCCCAUCUAUAAGCCCCGCCCCUUUAUUUAUAAGCCCCGCCCCAUUCACAAUCCCAGCCCUCUCAUUGGCCCAGCCCAUUUCUAAAGCCCCGCCCACUAUUUCUAAGCCCCUCCCCCUUCUAUUGUCUGUCUCGUGCCGUGAUUGUGACGUAACGCGCGUUGAGGGGGCGGGGCGUGGGGAGCGGCAGCCAAUAAACGGAGAGAACCCGUCGUGACCCCGCCCCCCCUCGAUUCGUGACGUCAUUUAAGCGCGCGGCGCCGUCUGAUGACGUCAGUGUCAUGGCGGACUACCUGGGUUUGACGGACGCGGAGCUGCUGAGGAAGCUGCGGAGGGGGAGAGAGGGCCCCACGCGCAACCUGUACCACCUGAAGGUCGUGGAGUACGAGAGACAACGGCGCUGCCGGGGGGGGACAGGUGGGUGCCCCAUAACUGCCCCAUAACCACCCCAUAGCUGCCCCAUAGAUACCCCAUAGCUGCCCCAUAGCUGCCCCAUAGNNNNNNNNNNNNNNNNNNNNNNNNNAUACCGCCAUAGCUGCCCGCAUAGCUGCCUUAUAGAUACCUAUAGCUCGCCCAUAACCACCCAUCAGCCUGCCCAUAAGAAAUACCACCAUGCUGCAAACCCAUUAACUAGCCCCCAUAGAUCACCCAUAGCUGCCCCAUAACCACCCAUAGCUGCCCAUAGAUCCCCAUAGCUUGCCCCCAUAGGAUAACCCAUAGCUGCCCGCAUUAGA